GACGAGGGAUCCUAGCGUUGUUCGGAAUCAUUGGGCGUAAAGCGGGUGUAGGUGGCUUUGUAAGUCGGAUGUGAAAGCCUGGGGCUUAACCCCAGAAGUGCAUUCGAUACUGCGAAGCUUGAGUGGUAGAGAGGAUAGUAGAAUUGUUGGUGUAGUGGUGAAAUACGUAGAUAUCAACAGGAAUACCGGUGGCGAAGGCGGCUAUCUGGCUACACACUGACACUCAGACACGAAAGUGCGGGGAUCAAACAGG
rnacentral:rRNA from 1 species